rnacentral:rRNA from 1 species
GACGAACGCUGGCGGCGUGCUUAACACAUGCAAGUCGAACGGAAAGGCCCCUUCGGGGGUACUCGAGUGGCGAACGGGUGAGUAACACGUGAGUAACCUGCCCUUGACUUCGGGAUAACUUCAGGAAACUGGGGCUAAUACCGGAUAGGAAUCCUUGCUGCAUGGUGGGGGUUGGAAAGCUUCGGCGGUUUUGGAUGGACUCGCGGCUUAUCAGCUUGUUGGUGGGGUAGUGGCUUACCAAGGCUUUGACGGGUAGCCGGCCUGAGAGGGCGACCGGCCACAUUGGGACUGAGAUACGGCCCAGACUCCUACGGGAGGCAGCAGGGGGGAAUAUUGCACAAUGGGCGGAAGCCUGAUGCAGCAACGCCGCGGGCGGGAUGACGGCCUUCGGGUUGUAAACCGCUUUCAGCAGGGGCGAAGCUUGUGGUGACGGUACCUGCAGAAGAAGCACCGGCUAACUACGUG